GAACCGCCACAACUGGCGCCCAAACGUGGGGCCCUCAGCACUCACCUCGCCCGGCAAGGGUUUCAGAUGCGUCACUCAUCCGCUUCAUGGAUCCCGGGCUGGUGGACACUGGAGCUGACGUUACGGUGAUUCGUGAUUUGGAGUGGUGGGUCGGUUGGCCAACAGUUCCUUCUAAAGAGUUGUGGGGGAUCGGGGGUAGCAAACCCGGGCGCCAAAGUUUGUCUUGGGUCACGGUCUCCAAACCAGGAGGCCGUGCCCUUGCUACAAUCCGCCUUUUUGUACUCCCUGUCCAGCUCAAUAUUUGGGGCCGUGACUUACUUACAAAGCUGGACACCACCCUCGAUAUUAAUAUAUAAUGGCCCGAAAUCCUCCCUCACCCACCUUGCCAUCCGCAUUACCAUUAGUAUGGCAAUCCUUAGAGCCCGUAUGGAUUGACCAGUGGCCCCUCCCCCUAGAAAAGCUGAAAGCGCUUCAUUCACUUGUACAAUAAUAUUUGCAUGCACAGUGCUUGGAAAGCUUUACUUGUCCUUGGAAUUAGCUGCUGUUAUUUUGGCCUUUCAACUUUUUGCUGAUUGUCCCUUUAAUGUGAUCGUGGACACGCAUUAUGUUUAUCAGGUAAUUGAUCAUUUACCCCUUGCCCUUAUUACCCCUCAGGUCGAUGCGGACCUUCUUUGCCUGUUUUUGUCCUUACAGUAUCUCCUCACCACUCGUAAUUUCCCUUAUUUUGUUGCUCAUAUUCGCAGUCAUACCCCUCUGCCUGGGCUACUUACUGAAGGCAAUGCGCGCGCCGAUCGCGCGUUACGUGGUCAAGUAAAUUCCCUUUUUUCUGACCCCAUUGAAAGCCAUUCCUUUUUUCAUCAGUCUGCCUCUGUUUUUGCCCGACAGUUUCAUAUUCCUGCUGAUCAUGCACGUUCUAUUGUUCGUUCUUGCCCCCACCGUGCCGCUGCUGCCCCGACCUUUUUUUAUGCCGUUAACCCCAGAGGUACCGCAGCGAAUCAGCUGUGGCAAAUGGAUAUCACCCACGUGCCACAAUUCUGCCCCUAUUCGUUUUUACAUGUUUCCAUUGAUACCUAUUCAGGAUUCCUCUGGGCAACCCCACAGCGUGGGGAAGCCACUCCCAAAGUUGUUCACCAUUUGCUAGCCUGUUUUGCUGUUAUGGGUCGCCCGAGCCAGAUAAAAAUAGAUAAUGCCCCAGCCUACUGCUCCACAGACCUUUCCACCUUUUGCGUCCAACGUCCGUCUCACACACAGGAUCCCUUAUAAUUCCAUGGGCCAAGCCAUUGUUGAACGUGCAAAUCGCACGCUAAAAACCUUGCUCGACAAACAAUUAAAACAAGGGGAGCUGCGUCUCCGAACCUUAGGAGACAUUCAGCAACAAUUGCAUAUCCUUUUGUUCACUUUAAAUAAUUUAACGCUGAACGCAGAUCAGCAGACCCCCACGGAUCGGCAUUUUCACGAAUCCGAGGUACUGGAAAGACCGCGUGUCUAUUACCAUCAGCUGCCCGAUCCGCAAUGGUUGGGCCCAGUGCCUCUAAUUACUUGGGGUCGGGGAUAUGCUGCUGUGUCUCUCCCUGCAGGACCGUUGUGGGUUCUGGCCCGGUGUGUGCGACCGGCACUGAAACAGCAUGGCGUGGCACCAGGGGCUGUCAAACCCCAUACCGGAGUUUCAGCUGACCUUGGAGGAGAACGCGGUGCCUCCCGGGUCGACAACGGCAGGAUGGAAACGGAGGAGGCGUAGCGUCCCAAGCCAGCCCGUGACAUGGGGAGCAGUAAAAGCAUUGGUCGCCGCGGCUCAACGAAGACUGGCAGCAAACCAACCGCCAGAGACUUCUGAGACUUUGUGGCAAUUCUUGCCCAAAUUACUGCUAAUUCUGUAUUGAUUGUAUGCCUUUUGUGCCUGCUAUUUCCCGUAGGGGUUGGCUCAGGAGCGCUUUCUCCGUUACGAGCCCGAAUGACAUAUAACCUAUGGGAAAGAUUGGCUUCAAUAGCAAAUGUUACCCACUUUUGUUUAUUUGAUUUUGUAACAGCUGAAGAAUUGUUAGGUACGUGCCUUAUUCCAGUAUGUCAUCACCCUGAGGAAAUCGGAAAUGAGAUGAUGCUCGCUGCUUACGCGAACCUCUCUUCCCAGAACUCUAGCAUGGCUAAUUGGGGCCUGGCCAAUUACACUUUACCUUCUUGAGCUUAUUUUUUGCUGUUGCUGUGUGCAAUGUAUUUCCUUUUUGUUAAGGCUUUGUCGAGAACCGCCCUGGCAGGCUCCACGAGUUAUGACCUUGUCUGUCCGGGAGUUAAUUGGCUUGCAAAAGCAAAUUGGUGGCUACCAUGAGAUGGCCGAGCACAAAUAAACAAAAAAGGAGGGGAUGUAGGAUUCAUACAAGGUUUAUGCGCUUGGCAACAUUCAGGGCACACCCGGAGUGUUGUGCUGGACCUGUGCACACACAGCUCCUUUCAAGGGCAUCAACCUUGGAAUCUCGCCCAGAUGACAUGAACCGUGGGAAGCCUCCCAGGACUGGGCUCAAGGCCCGAGAGCAAGGAAUGUGGUAGAUAGAAACUGGUAAAUAAGAAUGUUAAACAAAGCCAGUGUAUUCCUUUUAUCUGUUGGAGAAUGUAAUGCGCGGGGGGAGAGAAAGAAUAAAGGGGGAAGGUGGAAAGCUGACAGGCAGAAGCCCGUUAGCAGACCAGCUCGCUUGCUUGCUUAAAGCUCUGUUCUGUCUUGUCAUUGAACCGCCACAGUAGAAGAUCUUUUUAUAUACACACAAAGCAUGAAAAAAUACCUCCUCCCACCCCACUCUCCUGCUGCUAAUAGCUUAUCUAAAGUGAUCACUCUCAUUACAAUGUGUAUGAUAAUCAAGUUGGGCCAUUUCCAGCACAAAUCCAGGUUUUCUCACCCCCCCCCCACACACAAACCCACUCUCCUGCUUGUAAUAGCUUAUCUAAAGUGAUCACUCUCCUUACAAUGUGUAUGAUGAUCAAGGUGGGCCAUUUCCAGCACAAAUCCAGGGUUUAACAAGAAUGUCUGAGGAGGUGGGAGGGGUAGGAAAAAACAAGGGGAAAUAGGUUACCUUGCAUAAUGACUUAGCCACUCCCAGUCUCUAUUCAAGCCUAAGUUAAUUGUAUCAAAUUAAUUGUAUCAAAGUCUGUAAUGUGCACUGAAGAGCUUUAAAGUAGCAUGGUUUGAACCCCUUUGAUAAAUGUAUUUUAAGUGA